UACAGGGGGGGCAAGCGUUGUUCGGAAUUACUGGGCGUAAAGGGCUCGUAGGCGGCCAACUAAGUCGGAUGUGAAAUCCCCAGGCUUAACCUGGGAACUGCAUCCGAUACUGGAUGGCUUGAAUCCGGGAGAGGGAUGCGGAAUUCCAGGUGUAGCGGUGAAAUGCGUAGAUAUCUGGAGGAACACCGGUGGCGAAGGCGGCAUCCUGGACCGGCAUUGACGCUGAGGCGCGAAAGCCAGGGGAGCAAACGGG
rnacentral:rRNA from 1 species